AUGACUUUCAUCACCAUCUUCAUCUGGGCACUGACUCUCUGUUUUCACGAGUCCAAUGGACAGGUGACUGUGACUCAGACUCCUGAAGUGAAAUCUGCUCUUCAAGGAGACACAGUCACUAUUAAUUGUAAAACCAGUCCUGCAGUGCAUUACCACAGUUCCAGUGGUCACCACCUGAACUGGUACCAACAGAAACCUGGACAGGCUCCUAAACUCCUCAUUUACUUGGCCAAUAAGUUACAGUCAGGAAUUCCAAAUCGUUUCAGUGGCAGUGGAUCUGGGACUGACUUCACUCUGACCAUCACAGGAGUCCAGACUGAAGAUGCAGGAGAUUAUUACUGUCAGAGUUACCAUGCUAUCAGUGGAAAAGGAGUGUUCACACAGUCUUUUGGAACAUGA